GCGGGAGAACCGAGCCGCGGCCGGAAGCGGGUGGGGGAAGGGCGGCCUGGUUUCCGCUCCUGCGCACUACAGCCUCCGGCAGACACAGGCAGGGCACAUCGCGCCGGGGUGUGCUGCAGCCCGCGGGGACCGGCAGGCUCUUGCAAAGGGCUGGCGACCUCCAGCUGAGACCGGCGGUGUUAUUCCCACACCAGCAUAGGCCCGCCAUCAGACCUAAAAAGUCUAAGGGUCGCCUUCUAGCCUGGGGUUUCAACUCCCAGCCAAGACUUCCUUACAGGUUAGAAAACUGAUGUCCCUAUACGUAAAGAGCUCUUACAAAUUAACAAGUGUCACCCCCAAAAAAAUAUAGGCAAAGGAUGUGAACAGGAAACUCACAAAAAAUUGGACAAUAUGAUCAAUAAGCGUAUUAAAAUGUAAACCAUAAAAGAAUCGCUUGAACCCUGGAGGUGGAGGUUGCAGUGAACCAAGAUCGCACCACUUCACUCCAGGCUGGGUAACAGAGCAAGACUCCGUCUCAAAAAAGAAAAAAAUGUAAACCAUGCAAAAUGAAUGCCCACCAGAACGGCUGUGCAGACAACACCAGCCCUCUGGACUAGAGAGGAGCUACCUUCCUAGCUGCCACUGUGACAGCUGGCCCUGGACCCUGGAAGGGCAGACCAACCCACAGUCAGGAGGUCCUGGCCCGGCCCCGGCCCCGGCACCAGCACCCAAAGGCAAAAAGGCAACUCAGAAAAACAGAGGUUAAUAACUUGUGAGUUAAAAUAAGGUACAUACAAACAUAUUUGGAUGUAAACAUUUGUUUUAAUUUAUAUUAAUAAAAGGAAAUGCUCUACUUAAACAAUAAUUCAUCUGGGUCUUCUUGUAUAAUACAAAAUUCUUCCAUGGGAGUCUGAUGAUUUGGGGGCCAGCAACUCUUCUCACAUGUGUAAACUAGAAUUGUUCCAAAUUCCACAGAAAGACCUGAAAAAUACCACAUAUUCAGGCUUCCAGCAAAAAGAGUUAUGAGACUGAUGUUACUAAAAGGAAUGAUUUUACCUUAUAAGCUGAAAAAGUAAUUAGGUAAAGCAAAAACAGUGCUUACUGCUUUCAGCUAUAACAGAAUCACAGUCUAUCCUAUAAUAAGUGAAUAUUGAUAACAAAAAAGCAAAAUUAAUUUAAAGUGGCAGGAAAAUAUACUUUAAAAAUAAACAAAAAUUUCAGCAAGUGUUCAUUAUAACUGUCUAGCUAUCUGAUGUUGAAAAUCUAUAUUAAUCUACAUGGUUCAUGUGAUAUACAUAGCUUUUGGCUAGGUGCGGUGGCUCACAACUGUGAUCCCUGCACUUUGGGAGGCCGACGGGGAAGGACAGCUUGAGCCCAGCCUAGGCAACAUAGUGAGACACCUGUCUCUACAAAAAACAAAACAAACAAACAAACAAACAAAAUAUAUAUAUAUCUCAUAUAGCCUGGGCAACACAGUGAGACUUUACUAAAAAAAAAAAAAUUCACUGGGUGUAACGGUGCACACCUGUAGUCCCAGCUACUCAGAGGAGACUAAGGCAGAAGGAUCACUUGAGCCCAGGAGAUAAAGGCUGCAAUAAGCUAUGAUUGCACCACCGUACUCUGGCCCGGGUGAUAGAGCGAGACCCUGUCUUAAAAAAAAAAAAAAAAAGAAGAGAGAAAUAUAUAUCAUAGGACACACUACUGCCGAGAAAGGAUAAGGAUUCAGGCAAAAAAUAUAAAAUAAACCCUAAGAGUUUACAGAAAAUUAUCAAUGAAUAAAGCCAUUAAAAAAAGAUACCAAGAAAACAUAAGCAAUAAGAACUCCUGAUAUUAGAACAGAAAAGCAGGAGUCAAGAGGAUGACGUAGGCAAUGAUUUGCAGCAGCAAAGGAGAAAUACAUUGUUUAAAAAUGUAUGCAUUGGCUGGGCACAGCACAUUGGCUCAUGCUUGUAAUCCCAGCACAUUGGGAGGCUGUGGUAUAUGGAUCACCUGAGGUCAGGAGUUCAAGACCAGCCUGGCCAACAUGGUGAAACCCCGUCUCUACUAACAAUACAAAAAAUUAGCUGGGCGUGGUGGUAGGCACCUGUAAUCCCAGCUACUUGGGAGGCUGAGGCAGGAGAAUUGCUUGAACCUGGGAGGCACAGGUUGCAGUGAGAAGAGAUUGUGCCACUGCACUCCAGCCUGGGCAACAGAGUGAGACUCUGUCUCAAAAAAAAAAAAAAAAAUGAAAAAAUGGCAGAGUUUAACUGGUAUAUGACAUUCCUCUAGGAGCAUCUGACUGGUAAGGGAAAAGCGCCUCAAGUGAGCAAGUCUACAACUCCAGUAAACACACUGCGCAUGCGGCCUCUCCCAAGUGCUGGAGGGCCACUAUGCAUGUGGACAGCCCACCCCAAGGGAAGAAACAAGAGAAGUAACCCAAGACCCAGGAAGUAUAAAACCCCAAGUCAAAGGUCAAAUGGACACUUGAAUCUCUCAGGUUGCCUGCUUGGCCCUCUUCCAACUAUAUUUACUUCCUUUCGUUCUUGCUCUAAAACUUUUUAGUAAGUUUUCACUCCUGCUCUAAAAUUUGCUUCGGUCUCUCCUCUGUCUUAUGUGCCUCGGUCAAAUUCUUUCUUCGGAGGAGGCAAGAACUGAGGUUGCUACAGACCCCUACAGAUUCACCGCUGCUAACAGUAUUGUGGCAAAAAUGUUAGUCACAAAGGGGGAAAAAAUCAGACCACCCUCAUACCUCUACAAAGCUACAUUCCAUGCAAAAGACAUUUCUAUAUGAGUGAAAAAUCUCAGAGACUAGAAUGCCCAUAAGCCCUUCCAGAAAAAUAUAUUUCCCAGUGAGACUGAACCACCAAGAAAUGACAGGAGGCACCAGGGCAAAGGGCUGGCAGGGCUUUCACUGUCAGAAGACAACACAGGGGUCUAUACAAGGUUCUGAAAAGAGAAAGUGGGAUUUAAAAAUUUUAUACAUGGGUUGCCCCUCAAAUAUGAAGCCACAUUACCAUGCACAAUCUGAAGCAAGAUACCUCUGAGCCCUCCUUAAAGCUAUUACUUGAGAAAAUCCAGCUACUGCAAAAAGAAUCAAAAUAAAACAGGAAUAAAAAAGCUCACUCUAAGAGUGGUGAUAAACACUGAAUCCAUUUACACAUAGAACUAAGGCUAUCCAAAUAGCUGUGAUAAUUAUGAUACUGGCCAGGCGCGGUGGCUCAUGCCUGUAAAUCCCAGCACUUUGGGAGGUCGAGGUGGACGGAUCACUUGAGGUCAGGAGUUCAAGACCAGCCAACAUGGCGAAACCCCGUCUCUAUUAAAAAUACAACAUUAGCAGGGCGUGGUGGUGGGCGCCUGUAAUCCCAGCUACUCAAGAGGCUGAGGCAGGAGAAUCGCUUGAACCUGGGAGGCAGAGGUUGCAAUGAGCCGAGAUAGUGCCACUGUACUCCAGGCUGGGCGACAGAGUGAGGCUCCAUCUCAAAAAAAAAAAAAAAAAAAAAGAUACUGGGUCCAGGCACGGUGGCUCAUGCCUAUAAUCCAAGCACUUUGGGAUGCCGAGGCAGGUCGGGAGCUUGAGGUCAGGAGUUUGAGACCAGCCUGGCCAACAACAGUGAAACCUGUUUCUACCAAAAAUAUAAAAAAUUAGCUGGGUGUGGUGGUGGGCACCUGUAAUCCCAGCUACUCAGGAGGCUGAGGCAGGAGAAUCACUUGAACCUGGGAGGCAGAGGUUGCAGUGAGCCGAGAUAGCACCAUUGCACUCCAACCUGGGUGAAACUCCGUCUCAAAAAACAAAAAAGAUACUGAAAUAUUUCAAGGUAGGAAUAGGGUAUAAAUUUCCUUAUCUACUAUGGUAAGGAGCCAGAUGCAUACUAUCUAAAACUGAAACACAGAAAGAAUGUUAUUUUCUGUUAAUAGCAGAAGCACCUUUCAGAAACUUGGGCCUCUUAGGUAAAGAACCUAUUACCAAAAGUCCAGGCCAGGCGUGGCAGCUCACGCCUGUAAUCCCAGCACUUUGGGAGGCUGAGGUGGGCGGAUCACAAGGUCAGGAGAUCAACACCAUCCUGGCUAACACAGUGAAACCCCGUCUCUACUAAAAAUACAAAAAAAAAUUAGCUGGGCUUGGUUGCGGGCGCCUGUAGUCCCAGCUCCUUGGGAGGCUGAGGCAGGAGAAUGGCAUGAACCCGGGAGGCGGAGCUUGCAGUGAGCUGAGAUUAUGCCACUGCACUCCAGCCUGGGCGACAGAGCAAGACUCCGUCUCAAGAAAAAAGAAGGAAAAAAAAAAAAAUCCAGUAACUGCUUCACUUAUACUUAACAUUCCUUCUGUUAAUUUGUACAAAAAUUUGUUCUAAGACUUUUAAUUACCAUAUUAGUGAAUUUUCCUAUUUUAGGAAAAUUAUUUUCGUCUAGCCAUCCAUACAUUCAUCUGACUUGCUAUUUGUCUUUAUGUCAAAAAUGAUUGUUGGAAUAAUGGUUAUUAACAUUGAUAAUAGUUUUAAUUUCUGGCCAGGCAUGGUUCAUGCUUGUAAUCACUUUGGGAGGCCAAGGCGGGAGGAUCGCUUGAGUCUAGGAGUUCGAGACCAGCCUGGGCAACAUGACGCAACCUUGUCUCUACAAAAAAUACAAAAAUUCCAUCCUGGCCAACACAGUGAAACCCUAUCACUACUAAAAAUACAAAAACUAGCCGGGCGUGGUGGCGGGCACCUGUAAUCCCAGCUACUAGGGAGGCUGAGGGAGGGGAAUUGCUAGACCCCGGGAGCUGGAGGUUGCAGUGAGCCAAGAACGUGCCACUGCACUCCAGCCUGGGCGACAGAGAGAGACUCCAUCUCAAUAAAUAAAUCAAUCAAUAAAUAUUAAAAAAAAAAAAAAAAGACUGGCUGGAUUAUAAAUUUCUUUUUUUUUUUUUGAGACAGAGUCUCCUCACUCUGUCGCCAGGCUGGAGUAGAGUGGUGCGAUCUUGGCUCACUGCAACCUCUACCUCCUGGGUUCAAGCGAUUCCCUGCCUCAACCUCCCAAGGAGCUGGGACUACAGGCACGUGCCACCACGCCCAGCUAAUUUUUUAUAUUAUAGUAGAGACAGGGUUUCACCACAUUGGCCAGGAUGGCCUCGAUCUCCUGACCUUGUGAUCCACCCGCCUUGGCCUCCCAAAGUGCUGGGAUUACAGGCAUGAGCCACCACACCUGGCCUAAAUUUCUUAAAAUAAUUUUUUAAUUCCCAAAUUUUCUGUAAUUUGCUUAUGAUAUUUUAUAAGUAAACAAAAGGUUUUUCAUUUAUUUAAAAAUAAUGCCAGAAAUCCACAAACUCAAAUUAAUAAAGGGCUUCUCACCUAAAUUAGCACUCUUGAGCAUGCUGACCAGUGCUGGCAUAAGCUGAAACUCAAAU
rnacentral:lncRNA from 1 species